rnacentral:misc_RNA from 1 species
GAUGAAGAACGUAGCGAAAUGCGAUAAGUAAUGUGAAUUGCAGAAUUCAGUGAAUCAUCGAAUCUUUGAACGCACAUUGCGCCCCUUGGUAUUCCGAGGGGCAUGCCUGUUCGAGCGUCAUUAUAACCCCUCAAGCUCAGCUUGGUGUUGGGGCCUGCUGCACUGGCAGCCCUUAAAAUCAGUGGCGGCGCCAUCUGGCUCUAAGCGUAGUAAUUCUUCUCGCUAUGGAGUCCUGGUGGGUGCUUGCCAUCAACCCCCAAUUUUUCUAUGGUUGACCUCGGAUCAGGUAGGGAUACCCGCUGAACUUAAGCAUAUCAAUAAGCGGAGGA